rnacentral:rRNA from 1 species
AAAGAAGAGGCAAAGCCGCGAGGCAGAGCAAAUCUCAAAAAGCCGUCCCAGUUCGGAUCGCAGGCUGCAACCCGCCUGCGUGAAGUUGGAAUCGCUAGUAAUCGCGGAUCAGCAUGCCGCGGUGAAUACGUUCCCGGGCCUUGUACACACCGCCCGUCACACCAUGAGAGUCGGGAACACCCGAAGUCCGUAGCCUAACCGCAAGGGGGGCGCGGCCGAAGGUGGGUUCGAUAAUUGGGGUGAAGUCGUAACAAGGUACC